rnacentral:rRNA from 1 species
CAGUCGCCACGGGAAUACAGAGGGUGCGAGCGUUAAUCGGAUUUACUGGGCGUAAAGCGUGCGUAGGCGGCUUCUUAAGUCGGAUGUGAAAUCCCUGAGCUUAACUUAGGAAUUGCAUUCGAUACUGGGAAGCUAGAGUAUGGGAGAGGAUGGUAGAAUUCCAGGUGUAGCGGUGAAAUGCGUAGAGAUCUGGAGGAAUACCGAUGGCGAAGGCAGCCAUCUGGCCUAAUACUGACGCUGAGGUACGAAAGCAUGGGGAGCAAACAGGAUUAGAUACCCGUUAGUCCCUGUCUCUUAUACA